UACGGAGGGUGCGAGCGUUGUCCGGAAUCACUGGGCGUAAAGGGCGCGUAGGCGGCCUGAUAAGUAGGGGGUGAAAUCCUGCGGCUUAACCGCAGGGCUGCCUUCUAAACUGUCAGGCUAGAGCACAGUAGAGGCAGGUGGAAUUCCCGGUGUAGCGGUGGAAUGCGUAGAGAUCGGGAGGAACAUCAGUGGCGAAGGCGGCCAUCUGGGACAACACUGACGCUGAAGCACGAAAGCGUGGGGAGCAAACAGG
rnacentral:rRNA from 1 species